GUCCCUGCCGGGAAUUUGUGUUGCUAAUGAGCCCAGGUGGCCAUUAUAUACUUGUCUAGGGACAAAACAUAUUAUGUCCUUCUCUGAGUAGGGAAGGAGACAGACUGAGCUCAGCUGUGCAUACAGAGAGAAGGAGGACAGUUAGUGUGAUAUAACCCCCUCCUCUCCAUCCUCACUCACAAUGUCACUUACCUUCCCAGGCUCAUUUAGCAUCAUCUCAUAGCAUCCUUUGGCUUCAAAAGCUAGCGCUGUGUCGCUCCAAGGCUUCACAAUGCAGAUUUGCUGGCUGAAUCCAGAUAUUAUGGCUAGAAUUCGAGGGAUAUAAACCUAGACAGACUGCUAGCUGUAAAUCUGAUAUGCAGUAUGACAAGGGCUGAAUGCUGAUUCUGUGCUGGU